rnacentral:rRNA from 1 species
ACGGGGUGCAGCAGGCGCGAAACCUCCGCAAUGCGGGAAACCGUGACGGGGCCACCCCGAGUGCCCCCUUACGGGGGCUUUUCCCCGCUGUAGGAAGGCGGGGGAAUAAGCGGGGGGCAAGUCUGGUGUCAGCCGCCGCGGUAAUACCAGCCCCGCGAGUGGUCGGGACGAUUAUUGGGCCUAAAGCGCCCGUAGCCGGCCCGGCAAGUCCCCUCCUAAAUUCCCGGGCUCAACCCGGGGACUGGAGGGGAUACUGCCGGGCUAGGGGGUGGGAGAGGCCGAGGGUACUCCCGGGGUAGGGGCGAAAUCCUAUAAUCCCGGGAGGACCACCAGUGGCGAAGGCGCUCGGCUGGAACACGCCCGACGGUGAGGGGCGAAAGCCGGGGGAGCGAACCGGAUUAGAUACCCGGGUAGUCCCGGCUGUAAACGAUGCGGGCUAGGUGUUGGGUGGGCUUAGAGCCCACCCAGUGCCGCAGGGAAGCCGUUAAGCCCGCCGCCUGGGGAGUACGGCCGCAAGGCUGAAACUCAAAGGAAUUGGCGGGGGAGCAC